rnacentral:ncRNA from 1 species
UAGCCCCGGAGCAAGCUCAGGGAGCAGACACCAUGCUGGGCUCGGGCCUUCCCGGAGUUGGGUUGCUUGGGAAUGCAGCCCAAAGUGGGUGGUAAACUCCAUCUAAGGCUAAAUACCGGCACGAGACCAAUAGUCAAUAAGUACCUGAAGG